rnacentral:rRNA from 1 species
GACGAAGGGGGCUAGCGUUGUUCGGAAUUACUGGGCGUAAAGCGAGUGUAGGUGGUUGUCCAAGUUGGAUGUGAAAGCCUUGAGCUUAACUCAAGAAAUGCAUUCAGGACUGGAUGACUAGAGGACCGGAGAGGAUAGUGGAAUUCCCAGUGUAGUGGUGAAAUACGUAGAGAUUGGGAAGAACACCAGUGGCGAAGGCGACUACCUGGCCUGUUCUUGACGCUGAGGCGCGAAAGCUAGGGGAGCAAACGGG